UACGUAGGUGGCAAGCGUUGUCCGGAAUUAUUGGGCGUAAAGCGCGCGCAGGCGGCCUUUUAAGUCUGAUGUGAAAGCCCACGGCUCAACCGUGGAAGGUCAUUGGAAACUGAAAGGCUUGAGUACAGAAGAGGAAAGCGGAAUUCCACGUGUAGCGGUGAAAUGCGUAGAUAUCGGAAGGAACACCAGUGGCGAAAGCGGCUUCCUGGUCCAGCACCGACGUUCAGGCACGAAAGCGUUGGGGAGCAAACAGG
rnacentral:rRNA from 1 species